GCCUUUGAAUUUGAUCUUAAUCCAGCUUCGGCUGAACAAGCAAAGCAAGAGAGGCUCGAGUCCUCAGGCUUCUGGCUCCCCAUUUCUGCGUGCGUUUGGAGGCAGACGAAGCUUGAGCCGACGCGGGGCAUUUCAAAGGAUGGUUGAGGUCCUGGAGGAGUUCUUCCCUGGCGGCCGAAUAGAUUUUACGCGCCAACAGUCGCAACCACUUAUGCUUCUCUCCGGUCCUCCUUCUUGCGGGAAAACGUCUUUACUUUUCCAGUUCGCAUUUAACACCGCCAUAGCUGAGACUAAUGAAGCUGCCAAAUCUACUGUGGUCUUCAUAUGCAACCGCCGCAGGCUAGAAAACAAACCCCCUUUUCUCUCUCAGGGCAUUGAUCCAUCUUCUGAUGCCUUUCAACGCAUACAAAUGAAGUAUGUGCAUGAUGACGAAGGCAUCAAGAAAUACUUUGCUGCAUUCCACCUGUAUGAUAAAUUUCCAGUAGCAGUGGUUAUUGAUGAUUUUGGAGACUUUUUCAGUGAAAGGACCUGCCAAGAGAGAUAUCAUAAUCCUCGAGGAAGAGACUUAGCCAUGGUUCGGAUUCUUGCUUUGUGCCACAAUGCAGUAACGCAUGCGAAUGAGCAAGGUCACUGCAAGCUUUUGCUUUCUGAUACCCACCAUGGAGACUCCCCAAGGUCGCUCUUCAUCUAUAAAAGAUGGGUUUCAUCCAUUUUCACCAUCAAAGGUGAUGGCAAGGGAUCAUUUCUUCUAAGAAAAAACAGUAAUUUGGGAAGUGGGAACUCUGAGAGGACAAGGACUGCCAAAUACUCCAUAGCUCUUCAAUAUUUAUUUCUGGAGGGGAUCAUUGAAGAUGAUGAGAAUAAAACAUAGUGUUGCUCCAGUGCAUCUAAAACGAAUCUGUGCUCGAUGAAAUAUCCAACUUCCGAAAUACCACAGGUAUCGAAGCAUUGAAUUUUCACAUUUAGCAUUUCAUAGAUGUAUACGUUGAAAUUUGUCUUUCUUUAACAGCCCGUUUGUAACAGCAACUUAGAAAAGAAAGUACAUAUUCAAUUCGCAUA